CGGCGAGGGGAGGCCGAGGAUGAGGGGCGAGGAACGAGGAGCGCGCGGAGGAGCGGGGCGAAGUGAAACCUGGGGAAGAAUAAAGUCAAAGAGCACAGAAAAGACAGAACAUACUAUCCAGAAGGAAUUGAAGAGGAGUGACAUCUAAGUUUGGAGGCUGGGAAGUCCAAGUCCAAGGGCACAUCUGGUCAGAGCCUUCUUCUUAGUGGGAACUCUCUACAGGGUCCGGUGGUAACCAGGGUGUCACACAGUGAGAAUGAGCUGAGCAAGAGAGCUAGCCUCCUCACUUGCUCUCCUUUUAAAGCAUUCGGGCUGGCCAGUUAGCUCAGUUGGCUAGAGCGCGGUGUUAUAACACCAAGGUCAAGGGUUUGGAUUCUUGUACUGGCCAGCUUCCCCCCGUCCCCCCUCCCCCAAAUAUCCAUCAGAACCACGCCCAUGACCACCCAUUAAACCAUGGAUGGAUUAAUCCAUUCAUGAAGGUACAGUCCUCACAAUCUUAUUUCCUCUUAAAAGGCCCCACCUUUCAAUAACCAUAAUUGGAUUUCCCACCCUCUUAGCACCAUUAUAGUGGGGAUUAAGUUUCCAAUCCAUGAAGUUUUGGGGGACACACUUGACUGAUACCAGAAUCUAUACCAAGGAUUGGCCAAUUUAUUCUUAAAGGGCCAGAGUGACUAUUUUAGGCUUUGAUGGCCAUAGGGUCUCUUGCACUCCUCAACUCUGCCAUUGUAGCACAUAAA